rnacentral:lncRNA from 1 species
AUGCAACUUCAGCUCCCUCCGGGAACAUCCUGCAGGUUUGCGUCCGAGAUGUCACGUCUGAGCAGGGAGGCUCUCUCCUCUGAGAUGUCACGUCUGAACAGGGAGGCUCUCUCCUCUCCGCUUCAUCGGCGGCACUGUCCCCGACAGCAUCAAGGAAGUGCUGGAACAGACCCCAAGUUUUGUUCACUCUCCCCAAAGGAUUCCAUGCACUUCAGGGAUCGGUUAAAGCCUCCGGGGAUUGGUUUAGGAUGGACAAAUGAACUAAUGCUCGCCAAUGAGACACAGAGGAAGGCUUUCAGAAGACUUCUGGAAAUGUUUUCUUCAGCUCUUAAAAUGGUGCGUGAGAGAGCAAGAGUACUUUUUUUCCUGCCUCUGCACAUUGUUGACUAUAUGUGAAGGCUGGAGCUGUGGCAGCCAUAUUGGCACCACGGGAACCAGACAAACCGGCAUGCUGUAGAUGGAAAGAAUCUGAGUCUUUGCUGAUACUGUUGAGUAGCUCAAUUAACCGAUCCUGCAGAUGUCUUUCUGCCGGAUUUCAUAACAGAUGAGAUCCUGAGUCCCUUUAUUGUUCAAGCUUUGAUGCAUUCUGCCAUGAGUAUUUGUACAUGACAUGCCACUGUGCUCGUUGCUGGCAAUGUUCUCCAGAUAUGGAGGGAAGGGUGAUGAGUACAUUUUGCUACCAUGCCACUGUCCAUAGUCCACCCAUGGUCUCCCCUUUCCCCUGGCUCUCCCUGCUGACUCCCUUUCUCUGGUUCCCGGUCCAGCCGUCAGACCCCGAGCACAAAGCACAGACAUCUGAUCACCUGAGCCUGACUCCUCUCCAAUGUCAAGUUGUGGGUUUCCUCAGAGCUUCAGAUGACCUGUCCCUCGCUCUCUGGGUCAGUCAGUGGACACAGAGGUGGGGUGGCACUGGUGGCUGUGCUGAAAAAACUGUACGAAUUUGAACCCAGCGCUGAGUAGGGAAAAGCUCAACGGUGAGGAAUUCUCGAGGAAAAAGAAAUCAGAGGCUAUCAGUGUCUGUGCCAACAAACCCUGCUUGAGAUGCAGGGACAGCAGUGUAAGGAAUGUGAAGAGGCAGGACACACACAAUCAUAAAAUUCAUUUGUUUUGUAGAAGAUACUAUUUCCUGAGCGCUUACCGCAUGAGGGGCAGCGCGCUACGUGAUUUGGAGAUGACAUCUCCUUUGCUCCUUACGACAUCCUGUGAUGUAGAUAUUUCAGUGUGUCUACUUCAGAGAGGAAAAUCAAGAUUAUCUAAGUCUCCAAGCUCUGUGCUGCUGGUUAGUGGCAGAGCCAGGAUUCAAUCCAACUUCAGCUGACUCAAGAGCCCAUGCACCACAAACUGCCGCAAUGGAUAGCUUCAUUCAUUCCUUUGUUCAUUUACCAGUUUGUUUGUU